GAUGAACGCUGGCGGCGUGCCUAAUACAUGCAAGUCGAGCGAACAGACGAGGAGCUUGCUCCUUUGACGUUAGCGGCGGACGGGUGAGUAACACGUAGGUAACCUACCUAUAAGACUGGGAUAACUUCGGGAAACCGGAGCUAAUACCGGAUAAUAUUUCGAACCGCAUGGUUCGAUAGUGAAAGAUGGCUUUGCUCUCACUUAUAGAUGGACCUGCGCCGUAUUAGCUAGUUGGUAAGGUAACGGCUUACCAAGGCAACGAUACGUAGCCGACCUGAGAGGGUGAUCGGCCACACUGGAACUGAGACACGGUCCAGACUCCUACGGGAGGCAGCAGUAGGGAAUCUUCCGCAAUGGGCGAAAGCCUGACGGAGCAACGCCGCGUGAGUGAUGAAGGUCUUCGGAUCGUAAAACUCUGUUAUUAGGGAAGAACAAACGUGGAAGUAACUGUGCACGUCUUGACGGUACCUAAUCAGAAAGCCACGGCUAACUACGUG
rnacentral:rRNA from 1 species